UACAGAGGUGGCAAGCGUUGUUCGGAAUUACUGGGCGUAAAGGGCGCGUAGGCGGUCUUGUAAGUCUUGUGUGAAAUCCCUCGGCUUAACUGAGGAACUGCACGGGAUACUGCGAGACUUGAGUUCGGGAGAGGGAAGCGGAAUUCCGGGUGUAGCGGUGAAAUGCGUAGAUAUCUGGAGGAACACCGGUGGCGAAGGCGGCAUCCUGGACCGACACUGACGCUGAGGCGCGAAAGCUAGGGUAGCAAACGGG
rnacentral:rRNA from 1 species